GGGCAUGGGGUGGCGUCCGGAGCCCGGAGGCCGCGGCGAGGCUGGGGUCGGACCGACGGGACGCGGCGGCGGUGCCGGAUGCCGAUCCAUGUGCGAUCAUUUUGACCUCUCCUGUCCAAGAAGACCAUUGUGGAGGGGACUCGCUCGGAUUGGGUUGGACACGCACCGAGGGCAACUAUCCAUCAGGCACCAGGGGUUGUGUCGCCGUCUUGGUUUGAUGGAUUAGGAUUCAGGGACGCGGGUCGAUGCUGCAUUGGGGCACGCGGAGGGGGUAUUCCAUGGCUAGCGAAGGGUUGCAGCGUGCCGGCGAGCUCCUUGGCAGAGAAGGGCGACUGCGAACAGGCAAUCCCCUAGGAGGAGGACGCCUGGGGGGCGAGCCCCUGCUACACGAUGCUUGGUGCCUGAGGGGCGGUGGUAGGUUGCUAACGGAUGGCAGGGAACUCCAUUUUGCCGGAUGGAAGGAAUAUGGCAGGUUUGUCUCAUUCGUUCGUCCGCCGGACUGCAAUGGUGGCAGCGCCCCUGAUACGACGAGAGAUACGGUAGCAGGAUGUGUUUGUUACAGCGCUGGGAGGAAUAGGUAUUAGACUUGUGAACAAUUACUAAACUGCCCACGUCUAUUAAUCGUCCUAUUUUACAGUGCUAA